GAUGAACGCUGGCGGCGUGCCUAAUACAUGCAAGUCGAGCGAACAGACGAGGAGCUUGCUCCUCUGACGUUAGCGGCGGACGGGUGAGUAACACGUGGAUAACCUACCUAUAAGACUGGGAUAACUUCGGGAAACCGGAGCUAAUACCGGAUAAUAUAUUGAACCGCAUGGUUCAAUAGUGAAAGACGGUUUUGCUGUCACUUAUAGAUGGAUCCGCGCCGCAUUAGCUAGUUGGUAAGGUAACGGCUUACCAAGGCAACGAUGCGUAGCCGACCUGAGAGGGGGAACGGCCCACCCUGAACUUGAGCAACGUCCAAACCCCUAAGGGAGGGAGGAGGAGGGAAACUUUCCGAAUUGGCGGAAGGCCGAACGGGGCAACGCGCGUUAGGGAAUAAAGGCCUUCGAACCGAAAACCCUUGUAAUAAGGAAAAAAAAAUGGUGUAGGUAACAAUGCCCGUUUGAAGGGACCCUAUCCAAAAGGCCACGGUAAAUUACGU
rnacentral:rRNA from 1 species